rnacentral:rRNA from 1 species
GACGAACGCUGGCGGCGUGCUUAACACAUGCAAGUCGAACGGAAAGGCCCUGCUUUUGUGUGGUGCUCGAGUGGCGAACGGGUGAGUAACAAGUGAGUAACCUGCCCUUGACUUUGGGAUAACUUCAGGAAACUGGGGCUAAUAACGGAUAGGAACUCCUCCUGCACAGUGGGGGUUGCCAAAUUUCGGCGGGUCGGGAUGGACUCCCGGCUUAUCAGCUUGUUGGUGGGGUAGUGGCUUACCAAGGCUUUGACGGGUAGCCGGCCUGAGAGGGUGACCGGCCACAUUGGGACUGAGAGACGGCGCAGAGUGCUACGGGAGGCAGCAGUGGGGAAUAUUGCACAAUGGGCGGAAGCCUGAUGCAGCAACGCCGCGUGCGGGAUGACGGCCUUCGGGUUGUAAACCGCUUUCGCCUGUGACGAAGCGUGAGUGACGGUAAUGGGUAAAGAAGCACCGGCUAACUACGUG